UACGUAGGGUGCGAGCGUUAAUCGGAAUUACUGGGCGUAAAGUGUGCGCAGGCGGCAGAGCAAGUCGAGUGUGAAAGCCCCGGGCUUAACUUGGGAAUUGCGCUCGAAACUACUUUGCUGGAGUGUGGCAGAGGAAGGUGGAAUUCCACGUGUAGCGGUGAAAUGCGUAGAGAUGUGGAGGAACACCAAUGGCGAAGGCAGCCUUCUGGGCCAACACUGACGCCCAUGCACGAAAGCGUGGGGAGCAAACAGG
rnacentral:rRNA from 1 species